UGAACGCUGGCUACAGGCUUAACACAUGCAAGUCGAGGGGAAACGGCAUUGAGUGCUUGCACUGAAUGGACGUCGACCGGCGCACGGGUGAGUAACGCGUAUCCAACCUUCCCGUUACUGCGGGAUAACCUGCCGAAAGGCAGACUAAUACCGCAUGUUCUUCGAUGACGGCAUCAGAUUCGAAGCAAAGAUCCGUCGGUAACGGAGGGGGAUGCGUCUGAUUAGCUAGUUGGCGGGGCGACGGCCCACCAAGGCGACGAUCAGUAGGGGUUCUGAGAGGAAGGUCCCCCACAUUGGAACUGAGACACGGUCCAAACUCCUACGGGAGGCAGCAGUGAGGAAUAUUGGUCAAUGGGCGGAAGCCUGAACCAGCCAAGUAGCGUGCAGGAUGACGGCCCUACGGGUUGUAAACUGCUUUUAUGCGGGGAUAAAGUGAGGGACGCGUCCCUUUUUGCAGGUACCGCAUGAAUAAGGACCGGCUAAUUCCGUG
rnacentral:rRNA from 1 species